AGAGUUUGAUCCUGGCUCAGGACGAACGCUGGCGGCGUGCCUAACACAUGCAAGUCGAGCGGGGAACGGAUGGUAGCUUGCUACUGUUUGUUUCUAGCGGCGGACGGGUGAGUAACGCGUGAGCAACCUGCCUUUAUCAGGGGGAUAACGCAUCGAAAGAUGUGCUAAUACCGCGUAAGACCACAGCUUCACAUGGAGCGGGGGUCAAAGGAGCAAUCCGGAUAAAGAUGGGCUCGCGUCCGAUUAGCUAGUUGGUGAGAUAACAGCCCACCAAGGCGACGAUCGGUAGCCGACCUGAGAGGGUGAUCGGCCACAUUGGAACUGAGAGACGGUCCAGACUCCUACGGGAGGCAGCAGUGGGGAAUAUUGGGCAAUGGGCGAAAGCCUGACCCAGCAACGCCGCGUGAGGGAAGAAGGGUUUCGGCUCGUAAACCUCUGUCCUAUGGGACGAAGGAAGUGACGGUACCAUAGGAGGAAGCCCCGGCUAACUACGUGCCAGCAGCCGCGGUAAUACGUAGGGGGCGAGCGUUGUCCGGAAUGAUUGGGCGUAAAGGGCGCGUAGGCGGCCUGCUAAGUCUGGAGUGAAAGUCCUGCUUUCAAGGUGGGAAUUGCUUUGGAUACUGGUGGGCUGGAGUGCAGGAGAGGAAAGCGGAAUUACCGGUGUAGCGGUGAAAUGCGUAGAGAUCGGUAGGAACACCAGUGGCGAAGGCGGCUUUCUGGACUGAAACUGACGCUGAGGCGCGAAAGCGUGGGGAGCAAACAGGAUUAGAUACCCUGGUAGUCCACGCGGUAAACGAUGAAUGCUAGGUGUAGGAGGUAUCGACCCCUUCUGUGCCGCAGUAAACACAAUAAGCAUUCCGCCUGGGGAGUACGGCCGCAAGGUUGAAACUCAA
rnacentral:rRNA from 1 species